UACGUAUGGUGCAAGCGUUAUCCGGAUUUACUGGGUGUAAAGGGAGCGUAGACGGAGAGGCAAGUCUGAUGUGAAAACCCGGGGCUCAACCCCGGGACUGCAUUGGAAACUGCUUUUCUAGAGUGUCGGAGAGGUAAGUGGAAUUCCUAGUGUAGCGGUGAAAUGCGUAGAUAUUAGGAGGAACACCAGUGGCGAAGGCGGCUUACUGGACGAUGACUGACGUUGAGGCUCGAAAGCGUGGGGAGCAAACAGG
rnacentral:rRNA from 1 species